UGACCGAAGCUACAACAGCGGAAAUCGAGGAAGUUUGCGGUUAUGCAGCAAAUUUCGAUAGCUAUUGGUCGGAAUCCAACUAAUAAUCUGCAUCUGAGAACCUUUAUCGAAAAUCCUGAUAUUCCGCGCUUGCCCGCCGGAGUCCUUUACGAAAAAUUUGGCAACGGUGGCACGCGGUGCUGGUUUGUUGAUCAAGACGGUCAAAAACUUCGGCAUCAUGCGUAACGUGCCGCGGAUUGGUGCUUGAUGCCCGUCACCUGAGACGAGGGGGGAAUUAUUAUAGCCCACGGCAAGGCUGUGUUGCUCAAAAGGUGGACCGAUACUCAACGUUUUUCAGUUACGAGCUAACGGCGCUUCCAUCAGCGAUUUCAAGUGGCCAAAAUUAAUCAUCGAAGGUGCAUGUGCAUGUUCCUAGGCGUAUUGAUCAGCCCAAGGACAUUUUGUGAUGGUCACAUUUUCAUUGGUG